rnacentral:rRNA from 1 species
UACGUAGGGUGCAAGCGUUGUCCGGAAUUAUUGGGCGUAAAGAGCUCGUAGGCGGUUCGUCGCGUCGGCUGUGAAAACCCGGAGCUCAACUCCGGGCCUGCAGUCGAUACGGGCGGACUGGAGUGUUGCAGGGGAGACUGGAAUUCCUGGUGUAGCGGUGAAAUGCGCAGAUAUCAGGAGGAACACCGGUGGCGAAGGCGGGUCUGUGGGCAACUACUGACGCUGAGGAGCGAAAGCGUGGGGAGCGAACAGG